CUCUCAGUUCGUAAGUUUGAUUAUUUCUGCAGUUGGCUAGAUAACGGUUACAUGGAUUGUUUGGGACCACGAUUUUUUUCAGCUCGUUGCAUGCUGCCUUUUCCCUUCUUUCUUUUAGUGUGGGGAGCCUCUUUCUCCUGCCCUAGGAUUCUCAGGCUUCUUUGUUGAACGUGUUCAAUUUCUGUUUCGAGUUAUUUAGGGAUCCCCCCCCUGACUGGCGAAGC